UCCCUUAUGUGCAAGACCAAUUCCUUAUUUCUUUUGUUCUCGCCAACCAUGUCACACUCUGCCUUUAAUUGUAGGGAUGGACUAUUUAUCAGUUGCUGCAUAUGAUGACCUUGCCGCCUCCCACUUGGUUUUUCUCAAAAGCCGGGAAAUUAUCCUUGUCGAAGCCUUAAAACUGGACAAUGUCAAGCCUGGGAUAUACGACUUACGUUGCUUGCCUCUUAGACUACGUGGAGCUGAGGGCUCGCCGAUCAGGUGCAUCCUUAUCAAAUAGCAAGUUUCAUAUUAAGCUUGCGAAGGAGAAAUUCUUCUACACCUGAUGCCUUUCACACAACAUUCUGGUUAUGUCAUUAGCUUCAUACUGUGCCUUUGGUUAAAGUUCCAUCCUGUGUGGAAAAUAAAAUUGCCUGGUCAGAUCUACUACAUGCUACAAGCCUGCAACUACCUAAAUGUAAAGAGAAAAAUGUUUAUGUAUGUAGCAUCUUAUGUUAAUAAUAAAAUGUGUAAUUAGCCUAUCUAAUGGCGGGAAAAGUUGUGCUCUGUACCAAAAGUAAUUACUAUCACAGCAAAUGUAUGUAUGUACAUGAUAUCAGGAAUACAUAAUGUAUAUAUAGAAAUCUUUAUUAUCAACUCAUAUUUGUGGUAA